UACGUAGGGCGCAAGCGUUAUCCGGAAUUAUUGGGCGUAAAGAGCUCGUAGGCGGUUUGUCGCGUCUGCUGUGAAAGACCGGGGCUCAACUCCGGUUCUGCAGUGGGUACGGGCAGACUAGAGUGCAGUAGGGGAGACUGGAAUUCCUGGUGUAGCGGUGAAAUGUGCAGAUAUCAGGAGGAACACCGAUGGCGAAGGCAGGUCUCUGGGCUGUAACUGACGCUGAGGAGCGAAAGCAUGGGGAGCGAACAGG
rnacentral:rRNA from 1 species